CAAGAUGAAAAUGGACCAGCCGCAGUGGCUCACGCCUGUAAUACCAGCACUUUGGGAGGCUGAGGCAGGCGGAUCACUUGAGGUCAGGAGUUUGAAACUAGCCUGGCCAACGUGGCAAAACUCCAUCUCUAUUAAAAAUACAAAAAUUAGCCAGGCAUAGUGGUGCAUGCCUGUAGUCCCAGCUACUUGGGAUGCUGAGGCAGGAAGAAUUGCUUGAACCUGGGAGGCAGAGUCUGCAGUGAGCCGAGAUCAUGCCACUGCACUCCAGCCUGGGUGACAGAGCCAGACUCCGUCUCAAAAAAAAAAGAAAAAGAAAAAAAAAAUGAUGACUCUUUCAAGAAAUGAAAAUGAUGAGAUAUCUGGUAGGUCUGAAUGACUUAAGAGGAGAUUUAAACAUUUGGGAUAAGUUGAAGAUGAGCUGGUGUUCGUCUUCAUUUAUUUCAUUUAAAUAAAUAAAAUUAUUAAUACA
rnacentral:lncRNA from 10 species